UUAACUGGAACAUCGAGAAAAGUAUUAAUAUGACAUCGCUAGCACGAUAAUGACACUGAGGAGAAGACUUGAGGCUUUAAAUACAAGAUUUAAUGCAUUAGUACAAAAUCGAUUAAGAAAUGAAGACGAAGACAACAAUUUGUCAACACAACACAACACAAUUGACAGACUGAGAAUGUUCCAAAGCAACAUCCCCAAUGAAGUCUCAGCCACGACUAGGAGACGAGCUGCUAGGCAGAGCAUCAUUAGGAUUUCUUUCAUUGAAAAUAGUGGGGAGCAUCUAAUCACAACACAACGUACAACGGUUAAAAAACUAGUUGUACCAUUUUCAAUGGAUGAGAGAGCAUUUCACCAGAAAAUUAGGGAAGCUUUUCCAAUAAUAGGAGAGGGUGAAAUUGAAAUCUGCAGAGUUGACAGGAGGCGAAGGGUAAUACCUGUUGAGUUGAGUUCAGUUUGCCCUGCAGCUAUAAAAGCAUGCCCAGAGUUUGGCAGGUCAGCUGUAUAUGUGAGGCUUAAGGUAAGAACAACAAAUUAUUCUACCAAAUGUAUAUCCCAAAUUAAUUUUUAUGCUAUAAAAACAAACAUGUUCUUUUUCUUUGCUGAUCCUGCAUUGCUUUUACUGGGAUGCUAUUACUAUUAUU